UAGGGCCAUAUCACGCUGAAACACCGGUUCUCGUAAGAUAACGGAAGUUAACCAACGUCGAGCCUGGUCAGUAGUUACAUGAAUGACUGUUUUGGAAUAUCAGGUGCUG